rnacentral:rRNA from 1 species
UCAGUCGACUCCUACGGGAGGCAGCAGUGGGGAAUAUUGGACAAGUGGGCGCAAGCCUGAUCCAGCCAUGCCGCGUGAGUGAUGAAGGCCUUAGGGUUGUAAAGCUCUUUCGCCGGUGAAGAUAAUGACGGUAACCGGAGAAGAAAGCCCCGGCUAACUUCGUGCCAGCAGCCGCGGUAAUACGGAAGGGGGCUAGCGUUGCUCGGAAUCACUGGGCGUAAAGCGCACGUAGGCGGUCGUUAAGUCAGAGGUGAAAGCCUGGAGCUCAACUCCAAGAACUGUCCUUUGAUACUGGCGACCUCGAGUUCGAGAGAGGUUGGUGGAACUCCGAGUGUAGAGGUAGAAAUUCGUAGAUAUUACGGAAGAACACCAGUGGCGAAGGCGGCCAACUGGCUCGAUACUGACGCUGAGGUGACGAAAGCGUGGGGAGCAAACAGGAUUAGAUACCCUGGUAG